CGCAUCUGUGCAUGCAGCAUAUCAAUAAGCGGAGGAAAAGAAACUAACAAGGAUUCCCCUAGUAACGGCGAGUGAAGCGGGAAGAGCUCAAAUUUGAAAUCUUAAAGGGUUUCCCUUUACGAAUUAGUAGUUUAAAGAAGUGUUUUCUGUUGAGGUUUUGGUAAAAGUUCUUUGGAAUAGGACAUCAUAGAGGGUGAGAAUCCCGUAUUUGACCUUUACUUUCAACUUUGUGAUACACUUUCAAAGAGUCGGAUCGUUUGGGAAUGCAGUCCAAAAUGGGUGGUAAAUUUCAUCUAAAGCUAAAUAUUGGCGAGAGACCGAUAGCGAACAAGUACCGUGAGGGAAAGAUGAAAAGAACUUUGAAAAGAGAGUUAAACAGUACGUGAAAUUGUCAAAAGGGAAGCGUUUGACACCAGUGUUGUUUUUCUGAAAAUCAAUUAAAGAACUGUUUAUGCUAAGCUGUUUAGACUUUAUCAGCUAACUGUUUAGUUUUGAGCUUUUCUUUAAUGCACUUUUCAGUUAACAAGUCAACAUCAAUUUCUUUUGCUGUAAAAAAGCUUGAGGAAGGUGGCUUGAGAUUCGUCUUAAGUGUUUAUAGCCUCUUGCCUAUGCAGUCGGAGAGAUUGAGGUCUGCAGCGUAGAUCCUUCGGGGCUAAAUGCAUUUGUGCUAAGUUAUAGCAUUUUAUAGACAACUUGUUGACUUAUGAUUUGUCUUGUAGCUUACUCGCUUAUGUUAUUUUACCUACGCUUAGGAUGUUGAAUCUGUGCGAGACUAC
rnacentral:rRNA from 1 species